rnacentral:tRNA from 1 species
GCGGGGGUAACAUAAUAGAGUGAGUGUACUAAGGCUUCAACCCUUGGGUGUGCGAGUUCAAACCUCGUCCCCCGCUCCA